UGUUAUGUUCCCUGUUCUUGAUUUUAAUUCUUCUACUACUUUCUUUAAAACUAUGAAGUGUAUCUUUUGUGCCAAGAAGACAACAGCUUUUAUCCCUCCAAUAUUUGAACUGUUAACUGAGACAAUAAUUGAAAUUAUUGACCUGAAGCUAAACAAAAGCAUACAAAUAUUCUUCAGGCUAAGCUAUUAUUUUAUUUGGUAUGAGUUCCCGGGUUAGCCAUUAACAUUUUCCCAAAGCCUCGGGACCUUCCAGGGACUAAGCUCCACCUAGAACUGUAAGAUACUGGCAGCAGCUGUCACUUUAUUAAUCUGGUUUCAAUUUUUUAAAUGUUUGGAUUCACAGCUUAUCUAUGGGAACACAUAAUUGUUCCAUCUUUAAUAUUCCAGAGAGGAGAUUUACUGAAAAAGUUCAUUUAGUAUCCCCAUCCGCAAGCCAGCAAAUGAAAUCUUAGCCAAAGCUCAUGAGAGAGGACUCAUUAGGAGGAAAGCCAUCCCCAGGGCUCGCCGGCUGUCCCUCCGUCCAUCUGUCAACAGCAAGACAAGAACAGCGGCUGCCAUGGGGGCCCCAAGAGAGCAGGAGAGGAAGACACUGCCAGACCGCAGCGCUUGGCACCAGAAGCCAGUUAUCAGCCAGAUAGUGUGCUCGGCCAGCGAUGUGAAACCCAAUCAUUAAGUUAUCAGGAACUGGUCAGAGAGAAAAAAGGACUCUCUCCCGCGUGUGUGAAGCUGCAAUGGUGUGGCCAGGAAGGCUGUGACUUGCAAUGCCACAAGGUUCUCAGAUGUGGAUAAAAGGAGAUACUGGUGUAAUCAAGAAGAGGUUGGCUCCCCCUUAGUGCCAAAAUUGUAGUAUUGAAACACCAUUUCUCACAAAAAAAAUAAAUCAAGGCUUCUUGGAGAAAUGGCUGAUUUCACACCUUCAAGAGAAAAGUAUGAGAUGAGUCUGGAAUAUCUUAUCACACCAAAUAGCAAGGAGGCCAUUGAAGACUACUAAGUUUCUUGACAAAACGAUUGAAUCUGAGUGUGAUCCAGUCAGUGGAUUCAGCCAGUAAUUUCCAGGAAGUGCAGAGGACAGAGAAACAUGCUGAACUCCUGGCAUGAGUAUGCAACCACCAAAAUCCACAUGCUGUACGUUCCUGUUCCAGUUCCGACAACUCCUCACUGGGCAGGUCCUCAAAACCACUUCUGCCAUCUCAACCCCAGCCUUGUCAGUUUUUACAAUCUCCUCAUCAUCCUUGGUACAAGAGGAAACGAUGCCAUCAAGAGGUGCAGUAAACACCAGAUAUGUGAGUACCCAACAGCAUGGCUUCUCUAGAGAAUUGAAAGUAGUCUGAGUGAAGAAGCUUAGGUUAGAAGAAGACAAGUGAGGAGAUAAGGUCUAGAGAGAGAGAGUCCCAGACGGAGGAAGUCAGGAGACAAGAAUUCCUGUGGUUGGAGGUCUGCCUUUGAGUAAUUUUAGGUAAGGAUCUAACAGGUUUGGGCACAUGAGGGGUGGGCACAGCUAGGCAGAGGUCUCAGAGCGAAUCUGAGGCACAAACAGCUCUGUGAUAAGCACCUGUUGUGUCUAUUGUCCUGAGAGGGCUGUUUACCCAGAGGAGCCUCCUGGUGUGUGAGUAGGAGUUAGCCUCCCCCCGCCCAUUGUUUAGAUAAAUAAAAUUUUAAGGGAUUCCCAAAGAAAACAACAAAGUUAUUUACUGGUUUACAGCCUUAUCUUCCUGGACAGGAAUUUCCUGGAACAAAGAAUGAAGUCCCUGUGGAGUCAACUUAGUCCUGAUAUUCUGCAGCACACCUGGGCACAGACAUGCCUGGGCAUAGACACGCCUGGGCACAGACAUGCCUGGGCACAGACACACCUGGGCACAGACAUGCCUGGGCACAGAGCCCCAGAGGAGCCUCCCAUGGGAGCUCAGUGGGUGAGGGGUGGUUCAUGAUUCAGCCUCAUAGGUCACCGACAGGACAUUUGGGCUUUAUUCUGAGACGGGACUGUGGCAAGCAGAGAAGUGCUAAGUGUUUGCUGGGUAAGCAGCAAGUGUAACACAGCACCACACACUGGGCGGCUUAAACGACAGACAUCUAUUGUCUCUCAGUGCUGGGUGCUCAAAAUUUGAAAACAAGCUGUCAGCAGGGUUGGUUCCUUCUGAGGGCUGAGAGGUAAAGGAAACCAAAAAUAUUUCACUCCAAUAUACUUCUUUGACGUAUUUUGAGGUGACUGUUCAGAGGGCCUGCAAAUGCAAUAACAGCUCUGCAACGCUGUCUUUUGUGGGGGAGAUUUGCAUCUGCAGAGGAAAUGAAGCGAAGUAAACAACACAUGCAAGCAGGCUUUCUCUGAAGCCCCCCUUGUCCGGAUCUGGGAAAGAUUCACCGAGAGUCUGACAUUUUUAAGGGAGAAACAUAUACCACCAGCUACCACCUAUUCCUCCCAAGGGCUGCUGCCUGCAGGUUUCCUCUGUAUAACAAACCACUCUGAACAGCCAGGCCUCCUCUUCCCCCUCACAGCACCUGUCUUCCCACCAUAACCUGUUUUGCCCUGAUCCAAGCCCCCAUUCUUUCUGUAAUCUCAAGAUGGUAAAAAAGCAUCCACCAUCUGGCCAUUUUCUUUGAGUUGAGUUUUUCAUAUUUUGUAUGACUACUUUGCCUGUAUGCAUAUUAAUAAAUUUGUAUGCCUUUUUUCCCCUGUUAAUCUAUUAUUAGUUUUGUUUUAUAGAUUCAAAUUAUCAAACUUUCAGGGGAAAAAUGUAAACUUCCCUGCAGAGGAAAGGAGCUGUUGCAGCUUCUGUCCGUGGAUUUUAGGUGUCUGUCUUUCCCUGUGACUCUCACAUCAUCUGCCCCCAUGCAGCUGUGUGUCCAAAUGUCCCCUUCUUAAAAGGAUUAGGGCCCAUCCUAAUGACCUCAUUUUAACUUGGCUAUCUUUGUGGAGACCCUGUAUCCAAAUAAGGUCAUAUGCUCCAUUGGUGGGGGCUAAAGACCUCACUAUAUGAAUUUGGGGAAGGGGCACCAUUCACCCCUAACAGCUGCUGUGUGUAGGGUAUAGUGAAUGGUGGGGGCAAGGAUGGAAACAAGGAGACCAGUUAGGUGAUUACAGUUGCACAGGUAAGUGAUGAUGGUGCACUUGGAUGUAUUCUGAUGGUGAAACCUGUGAAAAUAAAAUUUAAGCAUUUCUGGAACUCUAAAAAUAUUUUAAGUCUUGAGAGAAAUGUGACUGUGACUUGAGUUAUGCAGCAUGUGGUUGUAAUUUCUGUUUUUCAGAUUAUACAUGAACUCUCUCUUUCAUUGUUUUUUGUUUUAUAAAUGACCAGGAGAGAUGGGAGACCAGACCUCCUCCCCUUCCAAUCACUGGUCUUUGUUACAGAUAACUGCCUUCUUUAUUGUCCUGUACCUGACAGAUGGCGCAAAAGACCCCAUGACUACUACAUCUUCAGUGUGAAAUGUUAAAUAUACCUUUCCCUAAAAAGUAAAAAAAAGACCGUCUCAACUAAUCAGAUUAUUGUAACCAUACAUUAAGCUUUAUAUAAAAGGAUGUUAAAAUUCUGUUAAGUUUCAUAAAGCUUAUCUCUAGAAAUGACCCCAAACUUAAGCAUUUGGACACACUGACUUUCAUUCUUUGGAAUUUUUGCUUCGUGGGUGACUGUCUUAAAUGCAUUCUCUUUAAACUAGAUUCUGGCUCUUUUGAUUAUUUUAGGUUGACAUUUUGGUGAUCAUGAAGGAAUUCAAAGUGAACGUUUGGUAAUCCCUGCUGCUUGUCCAACAAGCCAGCCUUGAUACCAACACAAAGGACUGUUGUUCACCUGACCUCACUGGAGCCAGCAGGGGUCUCUGGCGAGGCUCCUCUCCGAUUUCAGAUCUCCGGUGGCUUUAGUUGAAAUUCAGACCUUACUCCAGCGACCCAAUUCCACACUUGACAGAACUAAAAUUAAAGCUCUGCUUUAAGAUAAAAA